rnacentral:lncRNA from 1 species
AUUAAAUGAGAUCAAAUUAUUAAUUAAGGGUAAAAUAAUAAAAAUACAAUUGAUGGAGGGAGUAACUAUUUAGAGUAUGGACCGUUAAGAUGCAUUAGCAUUAGCACACAUUAGUGUCAAUCGCCUCUCCCUUUCUUCUUGGUGUCAAUCGCCUUGAUGUCUAAAUUGAGCCAUCAUCUUCUUCUUCUCCAAACAGAAAAGAAGAGGAUGCUCCCAAUCAUCAAUGGCGAGGAGGAAUUCAAUGCCGGACAAUAAUUCUGCGACAGUGAAGAAGCCCCAAUUGGUGACAAAGUGGCUUGCUCUUGCUAACAUCACAAACCAAAGGGAUGCCUCUAUGAAUGUUGUACAUACCACAAUUCUAUCAAAAACUUUGGUAAUUCCCUCCCCAUCUCUUUCUCUCUUAUGGUUUUUACAAAUAAAUUAGUGUGGUGUCUUUUCAUUCUCUCCUAUCCCAUAUAUCUAUAUACCUCUGUAUGGACAUAAUUUUUUUGUGUAUUUAGCAAGACUCUUAGAUUAAAUUUAUUUGCGUGUUUCCCAAAAUGAGAAUGCUAAUUUUGUUACAAAAUUGUAUUACCUGUUAAUUUAAGUAAUCAAUUCAAACCCUAAAUACCCACUCGGCAUAUGAGAUUGUUUACUCAAUGCUUCAUUUGAUUUGAUUAUUAUCAAUUUUAUUUAUUCCUUUAAAUUUGUUAGCUUUGUUGAGGUGUAAAUAUGUGUAUGUGUACACAUGGGCCAAGAGUUGAGGUAUUGGUAUUCCAAAAUUUUGGAGGACUCUGAAUCUGUAGCUAAUAAUAAUUUCUGUUGACUUGAUGUAUUUUUUUGGGAUAAUAUGUGCAAGUAUGCAUGGUUGGGCAGUACAUUUUAAGUGUUUGAUAAAAUGAGUCUGAGAAAAUAUUCUUAUGUUUUAAUGUAUUGACAAGUUUCUUUUGUGGAUACAUCAGUUGUGUCUUGAUGACAAUGCUUAGAAUCUUAUAUCUUCAUCUUCUCUUUUCCACUACAACCUGUAUAACCACAUCAGUAGAAAGAAGAUUUUUGGAUAUUACUUCACAAAUACAGUGAAGAAUUAAACUAAAGAUUUGUAUAAUUAAAAGAAUAAAAAAAACACAAAUAUUCGCUCAAAUUUAAAUAGUGUUGCUGCAUAAUCAAUUACUAUUACUAUAUAAAAAAAGUCGUAUCCCGUUCCUAUCAAGCUGGUGAGUUAUCUCAGUUAGUAUUUAGAGUCGAUAAGGUUUGAUUGAAAAAAUUAAAACGACUCCUUUUCCUUUUCAGCUGCAUUUUUAAACUUUUGAAGUUGUCUAGAAGUUGGUGACACCAUUUAAUAUUGAUUUCCUAAUUUAGGUCAUACAUUAGAAGACGCUGGAUGAAAUUAGUUAUGACCUGUGCCCUGUAAGUGUCUAUCAAUUUUUUUAGAUGAACCAUUUACUUUAACCAGUAUAUGGUCCAUUUCUGAAGUUGUUAAUCUUCCACAGGUGCUUAGUAUUAACAACUGUAUAGAAUCAGCACUAUGUAUUGGGAUGACAAGUAUGACGAACACAACGUUUCACCAUAUACGUAAGCCUACAAUAUCAAGAAAUUGACUAACGUAAAGUAAUUCAUUAGUCUCAAAACUAAAAAUAAAAAGAUUAUGAGUUAAAGGGACGAAGAAGCAAAUUACUGACACAACGAAAGACAGUAGAGAGAAUAGAAACAAUCGCAUGCAUGAAUUGAAUCUAUGUACUCUGCAAUCACAAGAAUUCACAAAGUAAAGGAUAAACCAAAAUAAUAAUAAUGAGGGUUGUCCCUAAUUACAUCUACCUUGCACCAUAUUUAUACUACUUAAAGAAAACCCUAAUCCUAUAAGGAAAUAACAAAUUGAUUUGAAAUCAAAAUCUGCCUAAAAAGCUUCCUAAUUACAAUAGAAUUGAAAAACUUCCUAAAAUUACUAAACAAUAAUUAAAACUACCUGACUACUAAUUAAUAAAAAAAAUACAUCAAAUAUUUAAAUUGUCCAUAAAUACCAAAACAUAAAUUAUAUCGAAUCUUGGCAGAUAACUCUUCCUGUGUCAUUCCACUUUUCUUGGAGAAAAUUCGACCUCAAAUUUUAAAAUGAAGUAACAACAAGUCCCAACCGCUAGACAUUAACAAUCUUCUUUGUACCAUGUAUUCACGAUGUUGUCUCUCAAAGAAAAAUUUUGGAAAUAAUUUUGAAGUAAUCAAAGCCUUAAUUUGUAUUAACCUGUACUUGCAACAAUUGAUUAGGAACGAUGAAAUCAAAAUUUUCGAAGUUGUCGAACAUAGGAUUUUGAACAAUCUCAAUUUUUAUGAUAUUCAUAUCCAUAUGUCGCAAUAACUCCAAAUCAUGAGCAUCCUUAAUUACUAAACUUGAUUCGUCUUUAAUUAUAAUCUCUUCCUCAACUUUCUUCUUUGUGUCUUCCACACUCUAUAAUAACGGACAAAUCACAUGGAACGGACAAAUCACACUUUAUAUUAGAAGUAGGAUUGAUGACAAUACAACUUUUUUAGAGAUUAUUCCUGUUGGCUAUAAUAUUCUUGCAACACCUUCUAACUUCAUUAAAAAAAAUAUCAUUUUGACGCACUUCUCUAACUCUUUUUUUCUCAACUUGAUACUGAUGUUUCAAUCCGGCAAGUCUAUAAUGUGCUUCUUCUAAUUUCUCCAAAAGAUCAUCAUAUUGGGGCAACAAGUUUUUACGAUGACAAACAUAAAUCUCAUAAUUGAACCAAUCACAUUCACUCUUAAGGAAGUCAAUAUAAUCACAUACUUAUUCAAUCUGUGCCUUUGUAGCUUUAGACAUUUUUUCGAUACACAUAUCUGGAUUGAUUCUUUGUCCACUCGUUCCUGUCCAUGCCCUCGAUGAUUAUGUAGCUUGUUAUCUUUGUCAGUACCACGAUCAUCACCUUGAUGUAUGUCGACCCUACCGAAUAGUGCCCUUUCGACCCUGCCGAACCUUUCGUUUAGCCCGUUGAGUGCCACUGCUACAUCACCGGAACUAACAUCCAGCCUAUUGAGUCUACCAAUUAGGGUCCCAGUUGUGACAUCUAGAUUCUGCAACGCAUUCUAGAUGACCGCCAUCCCCUCGUCGUUACAAGGAGGUGGGUUGUCUUGCACACGUUCAACCGUGAUCAAUUCAUAGGCUUGAAUACUCGCUUUGAUACCAACUGACACAACGAAAGACAGUAAAAAAAAUAAAAACAAUCAUAGGAAUUGAAUCUAUAUACUCUGGAAUUACAAGAAUUCACAUAGUAAGGGAUAAAUUGACUAAAUAGCCAAAUAUUUCAUAAACCAGAAUAAUAAUAAUGAGGGUUGUCCCUAAUUACAUCAACCUUACACCAUAUUUAUACUACUUAAAGGAAACCCUAAUCCUUUGGGGAAAUAACAAAUUGAUUUGAAAUCAAAAUUUACCUAAAAAGCUUCCUAAUUAUAAUUGAAUUGAAAAACUUCCUAAAAUUAGUAAAUAAUAAUUAAAACUAUCUGACUACUAAUUAAUAAAUAAAAAUACAUCAAAUAUUUAAAUUGUCUAUAAAUAUCAAAACAUAAAUUAUAUAAAAUCUUGACAUAUAACUCUUCCCGUGUCACAAACACCAAAUAUAGCAUUAAAUCAUGUCAUGCUGAUCAGAAUCAGAAGUUGAUCCAUCAUUUGGUACAUGUUGCUAUUAACUCAGAACUCUUAGUUUGUUUAGUAAUAUGUCACACCGAUUUAUUAGAAUUGAUUGGACUUGAGGUGAUUUCCCAUUUAAAAGAUCUUUUACAUAUAUGUUUGUUAAAAUGCCACAAAACAAAAAUAUAUUUGUUAGUGUAGUAACUUUUUUCUAGUUCACAACCCCUAAUUCUCAUUAGUCUAUCAACAAAAAUGGCAUCAUCCCAAUGGCCUUGCUUUUUCAUCCAUUGUAGGAAGUGGUAAAAGAACUACUCUUUUGUUUUGACUUGCAUUCCGUUGCAUCUAAGGAUUGUUGCAACCAUUAAAUUAGCCCAUGCUUUUGGGUAUUUUCCAUUACUUCACCACAUGUAUGUCAAAAAAUUUAAUAGCUUUUUCUAUUUUGUAUUACUAUUUUUAAAAUUCAUAAUUUGAGUAAAACUUUAAAAAUUUUCAGAAUUAUUCAUAUAAUAUUGUUACUUAAUUCAGUUGGUUAGUGCAUUUUAAUUGUUUGAUGAAAUAAGGCUGAGAGGAUGUUCUUAUGUUUUAAUAGAUGUAUUUUUUGUUAGAUAUAUUCAGAUUUAGGUUAUUCAAUCUAUUAUUUAAACUAGCCAGUGCAUUGCACGGACUAUCAACUAAUAUGUAUAGGAUAUGCAUAAAAAAACUCCUUAAUCCAAAAUUCUAAAACGCAUUUAAAUAUGUUCUCAAAUGAAUCAAUACUAUAGAUUAAGAAUUUAAUUAGGGUAAUGUGAUAUUAGAUAUGAUAGUAAAAUAAUAAUAAUAAAUUUAAAAUACAAUUUAUUGUUCAAUAUUUUUUGAUGUAUAAAAAAGUUUAAUUUAUAGUUUAAAAUAUAUUAUUAUUGGUAAGGGUAUAAUAGUCCAACCGAUAUUUUUUUAUUCAAUCUUUUAAUUAAUCCUAAAAAACAAACAUAACAUGAGAUCAUUUUAAGUUAUUAUAUGAAUAAUCUCAUAAAAAAUAAACAUGUGACUAGGACUAUUUAAUCUUAAGAUUAAUAGUCUUGAGAUUAUAAUUCAAUGUAUUAUAAUCUCGAGAUUAUAAUACUUGCAAACAAACAUGACCCUAGAUUAAUAUAAAACAACAAAUAAUUUUAAAAAAAUAAAAUAAUCUAAAACGUCAUAUACUAUGCUAUGGGAGAGGGAGUAGUAUAUACUCCACUCCUUUUGUAAAUAAAAAUAUAAUUUUUAUGUUUGUUCGUUUUAGAAUUAAAAAAUAUAUCAAUAUUAUAUAAUAACAUAAUAUUUUGAAUUUAUUAUUAUUAAUUAAAUUUGUUUAAAUAAGUUUUGACAAAUAAAAAGUUAAUAUUUAAAUAUAACUAAGACUAAUAAAUUGUUUAUCAAUAAAUUAUUUAAAUAAUACGUUAUUUAUUAAUUAAUUAUUUAAAUAAUAAAUUGUUUAUUAACAAGUUGUUUAAAUAAAUUUUGAUAAAUUAUGAAUGCUUAUUAUUUUAAUACUGAAUCAUUCCCGUUUUCAUAGAAUUGAUCAACUGUUACCAAUCACUCUUUAUUUGCUUUAUCCUGUAGUAUUGAGAUAUGAACAAAUAGUUUAAUGACACUUUGAUCUCAGCAGUUUUUAUUGUAUAGCAAACAGAACCUUCAAUUACAAAAUAUUAUUUUGAUAGAAAAAUAUUUAUUUAUUUUAUCCUGAAUUAUUUUGAGAUAUAUUUUUGACAUUUGGAUGUCCUCUCUUAUGAUUAAAAGACAAACUAAUCAAAAGAUAAACAGAACUUCCGCCAUUUGUAAAAUGUAUAUAAUAGGAUAUUAUGGUAAUUUUUUAAAAAAGACUGAGAAUAAUUUUGUCUAUAGAUCUUUACGCUCUGUUUUUGAGAAAAUGGACAGAAAAGAAAAGAAAUGGACUGAAAAUAUAAGUUUUAUUUUCAAUUCUUAUGUUUCUGAGUUUUUUAAUAAACGGAAAAGAAAAAAAAUAGAUAGAAAACUUGACCACUUUCCUGCCAAAGUUUUUCGUCCAAAAUUGGCCUGAUUUGAACGGAAAAAAAAUUGGAAUAAGUAAUAUUUUUAUAAUUUUCAUAUUAUCCUCAACUUUUAAUAUAAUAAAUUGUAAGACCCCGAAUUUUAUGAAAUAAAAGUAUUCAAUUUUUCUAUUUUAGUAAAUGGUUAAAUUGAUAAAAUUUAAAGUUAAGGAUGACAUUCGAAAAUUUUUCAAAGUAAGCAAGUUAUCAUAAAAUACUCGGUAAUAAAAAUACAGUAAUACGCGUGGUUGCAUAGUAGCACAUAAUAUUAAUUAUUGAUGCUUACGUGAGAAGUUACUCAGUUAUACUCCAUUAUUGUUACAGUAAUUGCUGCAUCAUAUCUUUCAUAUUAUUGAUACAAUUAUUGUCACAAUAUCAUCUGCAUAAAAUGUUAUUUUAUUAAAUCAAUAGUUGAGAUGACAAAGUUAAUCAUAUUAUAAAUUGCAAUAUUUACAAUGUCUAGAAGUUCUAUCAAGGAGAUGUUAGAUAAUCUAAUUGCGCGCCAAUAAGGAGAAAUCCUUAUCGAAAACCCCCUCUUUCCUGAGAACAACCUAGUUGAUAAAUAUUGCGAAUUAUAAUAUUAAUGAUGAAUGUUAUUAGAAAUUGAAGUUGUGUUCGGAGUUGAAUUUGGAGACGCGGGCGUGAUAUUUGAGUCCACAACAGCGAAAUUAGUAAAAAUAAUCUAUAAACACAAAAUUUUCCAGAAUUCACUAUUUGGUCAAAAAGUCAACAGUUGACUUUUUCGAGAAAAGUCAAACAUCAAAAUUUUAAAAUUUAUAUUUUUGAUAAAAAUAGUUUCAUUAUGUUGGAAUUAUUUAUGUUAGUGAAAAUCGACAUUUAUUUCGAUAAUAAUUGAUGUCUGGAGGUUAUAUUGACCAAUCGGGUAUUUAACCGGAUAAAUGAGCAAUUGAUUGCUAUUAUUUCACAUGAUUAUAACUAUUUAUUCACAUGUGUNNNNNNNNNNNNNNNNNNNNNNNNNNNNNNNNNNNNNNNNNNNNNNNNNNNNNNNNNNNNNNNNNNNNNNNNNNNNNNNNNNNNNNNNNNNNNNNNNNNNUAAUUCGUAUUUUCACAUGUCUAGAACUAUUGAGUCACAUGAUUUACUAUUGAGUCACAUGAUUUUACUAUUGAUUCACAUGAUUUACUAUUAGGGGAGUUGGUGCAAAAUUGAUAAUACUUGCAGGACUAAAUUAAAAAGGAAGAAAAAGAGGAAGGUAUUAUAUUGUAAUAUUUCGAGCCCCAAAACGUGUAAUUAUCGAAACUAUGUUUUCCUAUAAAUAAAAGCUCAUUUUUCUUCAUUUCUCACCAAUUCACUAAAGCUAUAGAACAAUUAUUAUAGAGAGAAAUUGUAGAGAGAAAAUCUAUAGAAGAAGAGAAGCCUUCUACCUCACUACUCCUAUAUCCAGUUCUUUCAAAGGUAAGGGAUAUUAUUUGUUUUACCUGUAAGGGUAUUAUUUCUUUCUUAUUCAUGAAGAGAACUUCUGUUAUUCCAUUCUUUAUUAUUCUGUUGGAAUAACCUGUAAACGCGGGAUACCCUAUACAUAAUCUGCAUACGCGGCAUACCCUAUACUUGGUGAAAUCCCUCUGUUAUAUACGUCAAUACCUCAUCUUCAUGUUUAUAUUAUGUUGAAAAUCAUCUGUGGCCUGUAGUGCAUAGAUGGACUUGGUAUGAUUAUGACCAGGGAUUAUUCGGUAUAAUCAUGAUCGUAAUGUUAUAAAUGAUGUGGUAAAAGUCAUCUUUGGCCGUAGUGCAUAGAUGGACUUGGUAUGAUUAUGACCAGGGAUUAUUCGGUAUAAUCAUGACCGUAAUGGAAAACACGAAUAUCUUUGGCCCGUAGUGCAUGAAGGUCGUGAUACUAUUAAGCUAAGUCUCAGCAUUAUUGGUUUUACAGUUGUAUAUCUUUGGCCUGUAGUGCAAAGAUGAACUGUUAAUUAUUGGUUAUACAGUUGUAUAUUUUUAGCCGUAGUGCAAAGAUGAAUUUAUUAGUAUGAUUAUGAGCAAGAAUUGUGAUUUGGUAUAAUCAUGAUUUUUGAUGUUUCAGGUGAAGAUAGGUGAUGUAAAUCAUCUUCUUCCUGGGUGCAAAAAUGAAUUCAGAAUCACAAUUAUGAUUAUGAGUUAUUCAUAUGAUUGUGGACAAGAAUUGUUGAUUGAUGUUAUAGGGAUAUGGUCACUGGUGGAGAUAUUAGUCUAGAACUAGGAGGAGAGAGACGAGUAAUAUACUUCGCUAGGGUGUGACUUACCUAAGCCAAAAUUUUUACUUGAUAAGUUGACAAUUUGUGAUAUGUCAAUUAACCUUUGUUUUGAAGGUAUAUUUUAGAAUGAUAUCUGAAAUACAGGAGAUGAGCAGUGGAAAAAUUAUGAUACACAAGAUAUAACCGGGAAGGUACAAUCUGAAAAGAAAGCAAGGUAUUCUCAUCUCUUCGAACUAUCAGGUACAUAUGCAAAUUUUGAGGGCGAAAUUUCAUAAGGAGGGGAGAUUGUAAGACCCCGAAUUUUAUGAAAUAAAAGUAUUCAAUUUUUUUAUUUUAGUAAAUGGUUAAAUUGAUAAAGUUUAAAGUUAAGGGUGACAUUUGAAAAUUUUUCAAAUUAAGCAAGUUGUCAUAAAAUACCCGGUAGUAAAAGUACAGUAAUACGCGUGGUUGCAUAGUAGCACACAAUAUUAAUUAUUGAUGCUUACGUAAGAAGUCACUCAGUUAUACUCUAUUAUUGCUACAGUAAUUGCUGCAUCAUAUCUCUCAUAUUAUUGAUACAAUUAUUGUCACAGUAUCAUCUGCAUAAAAUGUUAUUUUAUUAAAUCAAUAGUUGAGAUGACAAAGUUAUUCAUAUUAUAAAUUACAAUAUUUACAAUGUCUAGAAGUUCUAUCAAGGAGAGGUUAGAUAAUCUAAUUGCGCGCCAAUAAAGAGAAAUCCUUAUCGAAAAGCCCCCUCUUUCUUGAGAACAAUCUGGUUGAUAAAUAUUGCGAGUUAUAAUAUUAAUGAUGAAUGUUAUUAGAAAUUGAAGUUGUGUUCGAAGUUGAAUUUGGAGAUGCGGGCGUGAUAUUUGAGUCCGGAACGGCGACAUUAGUAAAAAUAGUCUAUAAACACAAAAUUUUCCAAAAUUCACUAUUUGGUCAAAAAGUCAACAGUUGACUUUUUUGAGAAAAGUCAAACUUCGAAAUUUCAAAAUUUAUAUUUUUGAUAAAAAUAGUUUCAUUGUGUUGGAAUUAUUUAUGUUAGUGAAAAUCGACAUUUAUUUCGAAAAUAAUUGAUGUCUGGAGGUUAUAUUGACCAAUCGGGUACUUAACCGGAUAAAUGAGCAAUUGAUUACUAUUAUUUCACAUGAUUAUAACUAUUUGUUCACAUAUGUGUACUAUUGAUUCACAUGAUUUACUAUUAGGGGAGUUGGUGCAAGAUUGAUAAUACUUACAGGACUAAAUUAAAAAGGAAAAAAAAGAGGAAGGUAUUAUACUGUAAUAUUUUGAGCCCCAAAACGUGUAAUUAUCGAAACUAUGUUUUCCUAUAAAUAGAAGCUCAUUCUUCUUCAUUUUUCACCAAUUUACUAAAGCUAUAGAAAAAUUAUUAUAGAGAGAAAUUGUAGAGAGAAAAUCUAUAGAAGAAGAGAAGCCUUCUACCUCACUACUCUUAUAUCCAGUUCUUUCAAAGGUAAGGGAUAUUAUUUGUUGUACUUGUAAGGGUAUUAUUUCUUUCUUAUUCAUGAAAAGAACUUCUGUUAUUCCAUUCUUUAUUAUUCUGUUGGAAUAACCUGUAUACGCGGCAUACCGUAUACAUAACUGCCUACGCGGCAUACCCUAUACUUGGUGAAAUCCCUCUGUUAUUCCAUUCUAUAUUAUUAUGUUGGAAUAACCUGUUUAUGCGAAGUACCGCAUACAUGGUGAAAUUCUUCUAUUAUUCCAUUCUAUAUUAUUAUGUUGGAAUAACCUGUUUAUGCGAAGUACUGCAUACAUGGUGAAAUUCUUCUAUUAUUCCGUUCUUUAUGAUUCUGUCGGAAUAUCCUGCCGGUGCGUAUUACGCCUGACCUGGUUCUAUUAAUUAUUCUGUUGGAAUAACCUGUCUGUGCGGUGUAUCGCAUGCAUGGUGAUUUCUGUUGUUAUUCUAUUCUUUAUUUUUCUAUUGGAAUAUCCUGUCUGUGCGUUUUACGCCGGACCUGGUUCCGUCUUUAUUAUUCUGUUAGGAAUAACCUAUCUGUGUGGUCUCUAUCGCAUGCAUGGUGAAUCCUUCUGUUAUUUCAUUCUUUAUUAUUCUGUUGGAAUAACCUGUCUAUGUGGAUUAACACAUGCAUGGUGAAUGAUCCUUUAUAUUCAUUCCUUAUUAAAUUGUAAAAAUGAUUUGGUUGCGUUGAUUAUGAUGAGAGUCAUAAUAAAAGCUUUGGACUGAGAAAAAUCAUGGGUAUAUGAAGUAUUAGUAAGUGUUAUGAUGAGUUAUGUUGGUUAUUAUGUGAAAACAUAAAAGUUUCUUAGAAAUCACAAAGGGUUGAAAAAUCAGAUUUUGGUAAAAACGGAACACGAAAUUCAAUUGACCAUAUCUCCUAGUAUAUUUCGAAUUUUUGAGUGAGGUCAAGUUCUAGAGUUAGAUCUAUGAGUUUUGUAGCAUCUCCAAGUGGAAUCACUGAAAAAGGUGUUGUAGAUUUUCGUGUGGACUGAUUUUUGUAAAUGAUGAAAAAGUUGGAAAUUGCUAAAAUGCUACUGUCCAGAAAUUUAAAAGGGCAUUUUCGGCCACUUAAUUUGUGAGAAAAAUUUUGGUCUUUUGGGACAUGAAAGUAUAUGGUAUAAGGUAACUCCUGUCCAAAAAUGAGCUCAUUCCGACUUAAAAUGAGCAAGUUAUGACCAUUUCAAUAUUUAGGUUUUUCCAACGAAAAAUGCUAUAAUCGGAGUUCUAUAACUCCGAAGACCAUGAAAUUUAAACUGGAAGCUCAUGUUAACAUGUGUAAGAUUCUGCCAAGAUUUGAGAAUUUUUGGAAUUAACCUUGAGGUAGCUAAUUUCUUAAGGAAUUAAUUAGAAAUUGAUUUUUGAAAAAUAGUAAAUGAAUUUUAAAAAUUCCUAGAAAAAUAUAUGUUCAUUAUGAAACUAUAUUAUGUUAAAUCCCAAAAAAUAAAUAUUUUUGGGACUGAUUUGGUAUUUUUCAUGAAAAUAGUUUAGUUACGAAUAUAUGAGUUAAAUAUGUUAUGUGAAGUAACAAAGUUGGAAAAUAGGAUUUUAUGGCUUGNNNNNNNNNNNNNNNNNNNNNNNNNNNNNNNNNNNNNNNNNNNNNNNNNNNNNNNNNNNNNNNNNNNNNNNNNNNNNNNNNNNNNNNNNNNNNNNNNNNNACCAUUGAUGAUUUAAUGAAUAUCCUUGGCCCGUAGUGCAGGGAUGAUUCGAUGAUGCGGUUUAUUUAAUAAGUUGAGUCUCAGUGAUAAGAAUUGAUGAAAACAUUUUAAAUCAUAGAAGAUAGUAGAUUUUAUUCUUUACUUGACUCUUCUUAUGAAUUGCUUAUUCCGCUGCAGUUAAACUUGAUGUCUAUUGUAUUUUAUCAGUUUAACAUUGUUGAAGACUAUUGAUAAUUUAUUCUGCAUUAUCUUAGUCAUAAUAUUUCUUACUGGGCUAGUUGAGUUUACCCUUUCUUUCACUGUUCUCUUUAGGAAAUGAGAAUAUAGCUGGGACGAGUCGGGGAAAGGAGUGACGGUCCAGAAGAUAGCAUUAGUAGUCCUCGUUAUUCUGUUAAAUAGUGUGACAAUAAAUAUAACGAGGACUGAAUUUGAGUUUGUAUACUGUCUAUGAGGACUCUAAUGAGAAUGGAUAUUUUGUAGAAGGCAGUAUUCUUAUUUAAACUCUUAGUUUAUGUUUUGUCGUAUUUUACACGACAGCUGUAUAGUUAAGUUUGUAUUUGUAUUUUGUACCAUGUAUUUGGCGACUCAGAAUAUGUGAUGUAUACCUAAUUUUGGGGGCGUCGCAUAAAUUUUAAUUUACAACUUAUGUCCUUA